GAGAGAGAACACUUUCAAAUUUUGUUGCUAUUCCUGAUGCCACUGGAGAGGUCUACUGGCCAAAGCAUGAAGACAUUGGUAAAUUUCUAAAGGUGGAAUGCACUCCUAUGCUAGGAGAGACGCAGUAUCCCACAGUUUUUGCCAUAUCUUCACCAGUUUCCCGGGGAAGUGGAAUUCCAAAGGUUGUGAACCUUGAAGUGCG
rnacentral:misc_RNA from 1 species